AACUGAGAUACUUUUGUGCUCACGACCUUUAUAUCUCAGUGAGAGGAAAAUUGUUUCUCACAGUUCCACUGCUCCUCACCUCCUGUAUCUGACAAGAAUGACUGGCCACCUUAGAUUCCUAUGGACUCUCCUGCUCUGCAUUGCAGCAUGCAGGGGCCAGUAUACUGUGACUCAGACUCCAGCAGGGAAAGCUGUUCUUGUGGGACAAACCAUCACACUCAACUGCAGGACCAGCAGCCCCAUCUUUGGUUAUGGAUUCUCCUGGUACCUUCAGAAACCUGGAGAAGCUCCUAAACUGUUGAUAUAUACCGUAGACGACCGCUAUGGAUCAACUCCCAGUCGCUUUGUUGGUGGAGGAUCCAGGUAUGGUAGUGACUUCACUCUGACCAUCAGUGAUGUCCAGGCUGAGGAUGCAGGAGUUUACUACUGUCAGAGUUACCAUAGUGGUGGCCAACAAAUAUGA